CGACACCGCGCGGAACCGAAGCCGUUCUCAGUUCGGAUCGGAGUCUGCAACCCGACUCCGUGAAGCUGGAUUCGCUAGUAAUCGCGCAUCAGCCAUGGCGCGGUGAAUACGUUCCCGGGCCUUGUACACACCGCCCGUCAAGCCAUGGGAGCCGGGGGUGCUUGAAGUGCGUCGCCGCAAGGCGCGCCCUAGAGCAAAACCGGUGACUGGGGCUAAGUCGUAACAAGGUACC
rnacentral:rRNA from 1 species